CCCCCCCUGUUCCGCCGCCCCUGGCUUACAAUGUCAAUAUCAAAAGCGGCAGUAUAAAAUCAGAAAGGAAAACGUAUUAUAAGCCAAUUUCCACAACGCGUCCAAAUGACCCGCUCUGUGUCCGGGGUAAAUCAUCAGUGUAGUCUGAAAUGUCAGGCGUUCUCCCCGCUUGCACCACGGGAUAAAUUGCAGUUAACAAUCAUGAUAUACAGGGUGUCUAUGAAAUCAAGCCUUUGU